rnacentral:rRNA from 1 species
AAAUAGCCGCAGUAUUUUGACUGUGCGAAGGUAGCAUAAUCAUUUGUCUUUUAAUUGAAGGCUUGUAUGAAGGGUUGGAUGAGGGAAUAACUUUCUUUAUAUUAAAAAUUGAAUUUAAUUUUUAGGUUAAAAAGCUUAAAUUUUUAAAAGGGACGAGAAGACCCUAUAGAAUUUUAUUUUAAGUAUAAUAUUUAUUAUUUUGGUUAUUAUAAUAUUAUUAUUAUAAAAAUUUUGUUGGGGUGAUAGUGAGAUUUUAUUAACUCUUAUAAUUUAUUUAUUGUAAAUUAGCAUAUUUAUGAUCCUAUUUUAUGGAUAAUUAGAUUAAAUUACCUUAGGGAUAACAGCGUAAUUUUUCUGGAGAGUUCAUAUCGAUAGAAGAGUUUGCGACCUCGAUGUUGGAUUAAAAUUAAAUUUAA